CAGCAGCCGCGGUAAUACGAAGGGGGCUAGCGUUGUUCGGAAUUACUGGGCGUAAAGGGCGCGUAGGCGGCCAUUCAAGUUAGAUGUGAAAGCCCUGGGCUCAACCUAGGAAUUGCAUUUGAUACUGUUUGGCUUGAGUUCGGGAGAGGUGAGUGGAAUUCCCAGUGUAGAGGUGAAAUUCGUAGAUAUUGGGAAGAACACCAGUGGCGAAGGCGGCUCACUGGACCGACACUGACGCUGAGGCGCGAAAGCGUGGGGAGCAAACAGGAUUAGAUACCCGCGUAGUCCCUGUCUCUUAUAA
rnacentral:rRNA from 1 species